rnacentral:rRNA from 1 species
UACGUAGGGGGCUAGCGUUGUCCGGAUUUAUUGGGCGUAAAGAGCGUUGUAGGCGGCCAGGUAGGUCUGCUGGUGAAAACUCGAGGCUCAACCUCGAGACGUCGGCGGAAACCAUCUGGCUAGAGUCCGGAAGAGGAGAGUGGAAGUUCCUGGUGUAGCGGUGAAAUGCGCAGAUAUCAGGAGGAACACCCGUAGCGAAGGCGGCACUCUGGGCCGAUUCUGACACUGAGGAGCGAAAGCGUGGGAGCGAACAGG